rnacentral:rRNA from 1 species
AGAGUUUGAUCCUGGCUCAGAAUCAACGCNNGGCGGCGCGCCUAACACAUGCAAGUCGCACGAGAAAGCGGGAGCAAUCUCGCAAGUACAGUGGCGUACGGGUGAGUAACACGUGGAUCAUCUACCCUGGAGUGGGGAAUAACGCUGGGAAACCGGCGCUAAUACCGCAUAUUCCCGAGAGGGGAAAGCAGCAAUGCGCUCGAGGAGGAGUCCGCGGCCGAUUAGCUAGUUGGUAGGGUAAAAGCCUACCAAGGCUGUGAUCGGUAGCCGGCCUGAGAGGGCACACGGCCACACUGGCACUGAAACACGGGCCAGACUCCUACGGGAGGCAGCAGUGGGGAAUCUUGCACAAUGGGGGAAACCCUGAUGCAGCGACGCCGCGUGAGCGAUGAAGCCCUUCGGGGUGUAAAGCUCUUUCGGCAGGGAAGAUUAUGACGGUACCUGCAGAAGCAGCUGCGGCUAACUACGUGCCAGCAGCCGCGGUAAUACGUAGGCAGCAAGCGUUGUUCGGAGUUACUGGGCGUAAAGGGUGUGUAGGCGGCCUGUUAAGUUCCGUGUGAAAUCUCCCGGCUCAACCGGGAGGGUGCGCGGAAAACUGGCGGGCUAGAGUGCGGGAUGGGAGAGUAGAAUUCCUGGUGUAGCGGUGAAAUGCGUAGAUAUCAGGAGGAAUACCGGUGGUGUAGACGGCUCUCUGGACCGCAACUGACACUGAAACACGAAAGCGUGGGUAGCAAACAGGAUUAGAUACCCUAGUAGUCC